rnacentral:rRNA from 1 species
GAUAUGGCUCAGGAUGAACGCUAGCUACAGGCUUAACACAUGCAAGUCGAGGGGCAGCGGGAAGUCAGCUUGCUGACUUUGCCGGCGACCGGCGCACGGGUGAGUAACACGUAUCCAACCUCCCGCAUACUCGGGAAUAGCCUUUCGAAAGAAAGAUUAAUGCCCGAUGGUUUCAAGGGAUUGCAUGGUAUCUUGAAUAAAGAUUCAUCGGUAUGCGAUGGGGAUGCGUUCCAUUAGG